rnacentral:rRNA from 1 species
GUGAUGGANGAAGGCUAAGGUCACGAACCGGAUUAGAUACCCGGGUAGUCUUAGCUGUAAACGAUGUGGGCCAGGUGUUGGCAUUACUACGAGUGAGGUCAGUGCCAAAGGGAAGCCGUUAAGCCCACCAUCUGGGGAGUACGGUCGCAAGGNUGAAANUUAAAGGAAUUGGCGGGGGAGCACCACAACGGGUGGAGCUUGCGGUUUAAUUGGAUUCAACGCCGGAAAACUCACCGGAGAGGACAGCGAGAUGAAGGUCAGGCUGAAGACCUUACCGGAUUAGCUGAGAGGUGGCGCAUGGCCGUCGGCAGUUCGUGUCGUGAAACAUCCUGUUAAGUCAGGCAACGGGCGAGACCCGCACUCACAGUUGCCAGCAUGUUNUUCGGAACGAUGGGCACUCUAUGAGGACUGCCACCACUAAGAUGGAGGAAGAAGCGGGCCACGGUAGGUCAGUACGCCCCGAAUCUUCCGGGCUACACGCGUGCUACAAUGGGUAGUACAAUAGGUAUCAACCCCGAAAGGGGAAGGUAAUCCCCUAAAGCUGCCCUUAGUUGGGAUCGAGGGCUGCAACUCGCCCUCGUGAACCAGGAAUCCGUAGUAAUCGCCUCUCAAAAUGAGGCGGUGAAUAUGUCCCUGCUCCUUGCACACACCGCCCGUCAAGCCAGCCGAGUGGGGUUUGGGUGAGGCCAUC